GUCGAACGCUGAAGCCGACAGCUUGCUGUUGGUGGAUGAGUGGCGAACGGGUGAGUAACACGUGAGUAACCUGCCCCUGAUUUCGGGAUAAGCCUGGGAAACUGGGUCUAAUACCGGAUACGACCAACCCUCGCAUGAGGGUUGGUGGAAAGUUUUUCGAUCGGGGAUGGGCUCGCGGCCUAUCAGCUUGUUGGUGGGGUAAUGGCCCACCAAGGCGACGACGGGUAGCCGGCCUGAGAGGGCGACCGGCCACACUGGGACUGAGACACGGCCCAGACUCCUACGGGAGGCAGCAGUGGGGAAUAUUGCACAAUGGGGGAAACCCUGAUGCAGCGACGCAGCGUGCGGGAUGACGGCCUUCGGGUUGUAAACCGCUUUCAGCAGGGAAGAAGCGAAAGUGACGGUACCUGCAGAAGAAGUACCGGCUAACUACGUGCCAGCAGCCGCGGUAAUACGUAGGGUACGAGCGUUGUCCGGAAUUAUUGGGCGUAAAGAGCUCGUAGGUGGUUGGUCACGUCUGCUGUGGAAACGCAACGCUUAACGUUGCGCGUGCAGUGGGUACGGGCUGACUAGAGUGCAGUAGGGGAGUCUGGAAUUCCUGGUGUAGCGGUGAAAUGCGCAGAUAUCAGGAGGAACACCGGUGGCGAAGGCGGGACUCUGGGCUGUAACUGACACUGAGGAGCGAAAGCAUGGGGAGCGAACAGGAUUAGAUACCCUGGUAGUCCAUGCCGUAAACGUUGGGCACUAGGUGUGGGGGACAUUCCACGUUCUCCGCGCC
rnacentral:rRNA from 1 species